GGAAGAUAUUAAAGCAGGAAGAUAUUUUCUGAACUGCACACAGAUAUCACAGUGCUGUUACAGAAUCACAGGUUGGCUGUGGUUGGAAGGGACUUCUGGAGAUCAUCUGGUUCAACCCCUCUGCUCAAGCAGAACCACCUAGAGCCUGUUGCCCAGGACCAUGUCCAGACAGCUGCUGAAGAUCUCCAAGAAGCAAAACUCCAUCAUUUCUCUGGGCACCCUGUGCUAGUGCUUGGUCAGUCACCCUUUAUAGCAAAAAAGUGUUUCCUGGUGUUCAGGAGGAACUUGCAUUUCAGUCUGUGCCUGUUGCCUCUCGUCCUGUCACUGGGCACCACUGAAAAGAGAGUGAUUCUGUGCUCUUUGCACCCUCCCUUCAGAUAUUUAUAUACAUUGGUAAGAUCCCCCUGAGCCUUCUUGUUUCCAGGCUGGACAGUCCCACCUCUCUCAGCCUUUCCUCACAGGAGAAAUGCUCUAGUUGCUUUUUGUUGAACUCUUCAGUGUGUCUGUCUCUCUUGAGGGAGCUCAGAACUACACUCGGCACUCCUGGGGUCUGGAUGUUUUCUGUGUCUCAGAGUUAUUUUGGAUACUUAGACCUUGUCACAGUAAGCAGAAGAAUACUCAGGGUUUAUUUGGGCAAAUCAAAGCCCUUGUCUGUUUUUCUGAACAUUGACUUGUUUUCCUCAGAGGUCAGUCAGCAUCUGUCACUUCGUUUUCUGACUUCAUGUGACAAUUCUGUGCUAACUCUGGCCUAACUGAGCAUACUUAUUCCUCUUUUUACUGGCUUUAGCUUCCCACUGUUGCUGUUUAUCUCCAUAGAAAAUUGAGUCAGUCUGUGAAAACUGGAAGAAAACCUGGGCACUUCCAAUCCUUGAAAUCUGCAAAGAUCUCAUGCAGCACUGAGAGAGAAGCUGCAUACUCCUGCUGAAUAACAUCCUGGUAUAGAACUUGCUUUGUUUAGCUUGCGAUCAGGUGGCAGCCAGCAGCUAGGCAGUCUGAAAUUACAAUGAGCAUUUGUGAAGAAGGGGGAUGGAGAGGUCAUGGGUUUGUUAGAAAGCAGGGAGCCUGAAAGCAACAGCGCUGUGCAUUCAUCCUCUGAGCCUGUGGAACGUGGGUAAGUUUUAAGUAGCCAUAAAACAAUGUGGUGUGGCUUGCCCGUUUCUUGGCGCUGUGUUUGUUUCUGAGCAGCUCAGUGAGAGGGAAACAUAUAGAUUAGUGGCUGGUAUUUCAGAAUGGACGAGAUGGGUGUCUGUUGUCUUUGCCAAAGAGUAUUCCUUCAGUAGUAGCUGUCAUGGGCAAGCUUGUUCCUCUGCAGAACAGUUGUUCUAAUACAAACACAAUUAUCUGGAAUGGUCCAAAGGGUGUACAGUCCAGGGGUUUAACACUUACUGCCUGUAACCUCUCCGUGGCAUUUGAAAGGGACACAGUGAUCAGAUUUCUCUGAAUCAGAGUAUAAAUUGUGUCUGCAUCUUACUCUCUGUGAUGGGUUUUGGUGAUACAAAAUUGCCAUUGCCUCACUUGAUAAUACUUACGAGUUUCUGACAAUUUUGUUACAAUCAAAUGGAGGAAGGACAGUGUUUCAAGACCACCAGAAAACUGAGGCAUUUGUUGAUUCCGAGUGGCUGGAUGACAGAUCAAAGACUCAAAAAUACUGAAUAACUAAACUUGCUGGUCAGGAGACAAAAAUAUUCAAGCCUUCAUGCUGUAUGGAUUAGCUAUAUGGUUUGCAAACCAUCAGCAAUCAUCUCUAAAAAGACAGCUGAACUGGCCUCCUCAUGAUUCUAAGUCCUGGCUGGCUGGGUUUCUGUGGUUAGGCAGAGCUUUGUGGACAAACAAGUUGUUUUCCACCAGCUGCAAGGACAAGGAGCAACGCAGGAUAGGAACGAGUAGAGGUCUUAUAUUGGCUACAUGAACUACACGUUACAACACUAAGAACUCCAGUUUUAAUUCACUUUCCAACCUUUUGGCACUCUACUGCUGCUGCUUGCUUAUAUAAUGCUGAUUAUAAACAUCCAUGUUCAUGAGGGAUCUUCUUCCCAAGCUGUUGAUGUCAUAUGCAAUUGUGUUUAGAGGGCUGGACAGUGGCAUUCCUGCUUAGGCUUCAGCAGUUAAAAUACCACAUGCACUUACCAGGGACACUGCAAAAACACCUCUACACAACAGGUUGUAUAAGCAGAUGCUGCCAGUGCAGAUAAUGAGAAUGCACUGCUGCUUUACGCUCUGAAACACUGACAAUAGCUGGGGAAAGAGGGCUUUCACUCCCCCACUUUUUUUCCAGUAUUGCAUAUAAAGUCUGGUUUGCCCUUACUGGAGCUCAUGAUCUUCAUGAUAUGGGCUGCUCUAAGGGAGCUGCUCUAGGGCCAGCAUCAGGUAAGCACAGUACUGGAGAUGUUCUGUGAACAUCUGAUGUUUGCUCCCUCUGGGAUUGGAUACAGCUGGGAGGUAGUGUCCAUGAAAACUCUGGACCACAUUAAAGUACCUGAAAAGCAAGGAAGGUUUCUGAACAGGGAAGGAAGGAGAAACAAAAUCACUAUUAUGCUAUUAAAUAUGAUUUUUUAUUCUUUCUGAUUUUAUAAACACACAAACUUCUUAGGGAGAAACUGCAAGGACUUCUGCACCACGUGUACAUAUGCAGCAGGUUCUCAGCCAGUUGACAGAAAAAACAUUUUCAAAAGCAUUUUAAGAACUGUUUUUUAAACAGGAAUAGAUGUUAAAGGAGUUUAGAGUAAAACUUUUCCAAUGAGUUUUAUUCUAUUGUGUUUUUUCUGUGCCUGCACCCUCCCUUCAGCUGCUAGGGAAAAACAUAUCUGGAGUUUGAGAUAUCAAAAAUACAGAGCUUCAGAGGGUCUGGAAAGCAAAAGCCUGGUCCCACUUUUAGCAAGGCAUUCCACUCACGUAUCCCUUGUGAUGCUAGAGGAUGGAAAAGAUCAAAUGACAGGUCUCCUCACUGUCAGAACCUCAGUGCUGUUACUCCUGAUCUGAGCUACUCUCACUGUAGAGAAAUGCUGACAGACUUAAUGGUAUUGAAGUUAGUGAGAAUCACUAAGUAAACCAAGACAUGCAGGAAAAGGAACUAAAAAUCCCUGGUGACAUAAAGCCUACUGAAACGUUGAAAGUAGUUAAGAACCAAUAUUUGCUGAUUUUGAGAAAAACUAUGGUAUAGAGGCUGCACAAUUGUUCCUAGACAUCAGGAAGGUGGUGGUGGUUCUGCAAUCUGCUCUGAAGAUGCGAGUUCUCAGUAAGCAUUCCUUGUGGAAGAGAGGAUGAAGUGAAGACAAUCCGUACAGAUAACAUCUCAGAAUUAACCAGUACACUAAGAGCUAUUCAGUCCAAGAUAACUGUACAGCAGCGGGUAAUGGUUGCAGAAGGUUGUUUCAUUUCGGUUGGAGAAGAAGUUCAAGUGUGGAAAUAGCCCCUUUUAUUCCCAUGUCAUCAGCGAGGCUGGGCUUCGCAAACGAAGAUUGGGGGAGGGCUCUACCCACGUUCGUUGCAAGCGCGUUGGUGGCUAAAAAGGCCAGUAUGAGACAGGCAUGUCUGGCUGCAAUAGGCAUGACUGGUUGCAUAUUCCCGUGUACUAACACGUCAUUGGACUUCUGAGAAUAUCAGUGGUUGAGUUAGGUGUCAAAACAGGCCAUUAAAUGCAGGACAGAGGGCAGUCUUAUGACUGUUCCUCCACAGCUGUCUUUCUGAUAGGCAGGCUGGUUUUUCAGUUUCUCCAGUAUUUUGAAAGUGUGCUAAAAAACUAGCUGGAUCUAUAUAUCACAAAGGACUAGUUAAAGAAAUAUAAAACACGGUUUACUUAGGCAAGUCUUCAUUGCAUUUGACAUACUUUCUUCCCAGGCCUGAGGGUGAGGAUGAGGGUCAGAUUUGACUUUUCAUCCUAAAAGCUGACGGUGAAUGCAGGACAAGAACAGUGUACCUGCAGCCACCAGAACAGGUGAAGGGAUACACCCUGUCACUCUGCAGUGGAAGAGUUUUCCUGAAAGGUAGUCUUUAUCUUCAGAUGUGCUACGUGGCUGAAUUUCAGCUAACUUGCUACCAAAGAAUAAGCAGUCCCCCCUCUCUGCUAAUUUGGCAGACAAAGUAGUAGAUGAAGUCCCUUGAGAAAUCCCCAAAGAAUAAAAUUCAAACAAUUAACUGUUGGCCAUAGCCAGAAGACAAAGAUGCUAACUUAUGAGUUUGUUUGCACUGCUCUGCAGGCUGUAUGCUAACUAGACUGUUGUCUUUUUCCUUCAUAUGCAAAGCUUCUAAAAUGGGACUCUGCCCUUUAGAGAUGAUGUAAAAAAAACUUGGUUGCCUCUACCAAGUCCUUCAUGAACCACAAUUUCGAGGUGUAGCCUUUUUUUAUUGUAUAGGCUGCUUCCCUCGUUUCCACCACCCACUGAAAUUACUACCUGCUAUUGGUGAUUACAUCACAUUCACUUUGUGGGUGGAAGCCUGAAAAGCUGGUAAACAUCUCAUUUCACAUAGGUGGGAAAUGAGAUAUGGAUCCCCAAGUGUUACCUAUAAUUUUACACACCAUACAUGUAAUCCCCACCAUACAUCAAGAGAUGCUUAUAAAUAAUUCAGCUACACCCAAAAGUAACAUAUAGGCUUACCAACAGAAGUGCUUAAAAAAAGAAUUGCACAUCACUUCCUAUGAAGUCAGAUGAAGUUUAGGAAAACUACAAAAAGAUAAUACUUCUAUUAGGAAAUGCUGAAGUGGUCACUAACUACUCAGAACACUACUCUGAUUCAUUAGCUGCUCUCAUCAAAGAAAAAUUUGGGGCAAAGUAUUCCCUCCACCCAUUAGGAAUCUGAACAGUCCAUUUCUAUGAUUAUUCCAGGUACCUAGUAUAUUCUACGUGUAGUAUAAUCCAGUACCAGGCUAGCAGCUCCAAGAAGAGCAGGAUCUGCUAGAUUUGAGACCACCACAUCCACAGUUUUAACAGAGGACAAAGCCUGUCGAUUUAUCACGUCUUUGACAGCGUUAACAUAGUGGUUAGCUAGAACUCCAGAAAGGAUCACAAGAGAGGGGUUCACGGUGUGUAGAACGUUCACAACUCCAAGGCCUAAUGCAGUCCCAGCUGAAAAGAUAAAGUAAAAAGAAAUUAAGUAUAAUACUCAAAGCAGUUCUGGCAUCAGUAGCUGAAAUAGGUCUGUAAGCAGCAAAUAACACUUGUCAGGAAAGUGUUCUGUUCCACAGGGCAGGGUUUUGGGUUUAUGUUAUCAGACAAUAUCAGUUUGCCAUUAGUU